rnacentral:lncRNA from 1 species
ACUGUCAGGACUAAAGUGUUGACCGGAGAGCUCGGAAGGCCUGUGUGUGGCUGCGGGGAGAGGCUUUCCUCCUGCCCGCUCUCGCUCCAUCUUGAUAUAUCACUGGAGUCAAGUCAUCCGUUUCCCUGAGACUGCCCAGUUGUUCACAGCAGAGUACAAAAGCUGCAAGAUGCUCAAAAUUUUUGGCAUUUGGACAGCUUCCUUAGCUAGCAAGGACAUAAAGUACCCAUAAGGCUUGUCACUGGAAUAUCACAGAAUCGCAGAAUGGUUGAAGUUGGAAGGGACCCCUGAAGAUCAUCUAGUCCAACCCACCUGCUCAAGCAGGGUCACCUGGUGCAUGUUGCCCAGUAGAAGAGACUUGUUACGGACAUUUGCAGUUUGGUCAGAAAGUCUGUUCAUUCCAUGAGCAAGCUCCUUUCAUGAAAAACAGUUUGUCUUCAACUCAUAUAUGCUUAAAUCUGGAUUUAUUAGCCAUAUCAUAAUAGAGUGAAAUGUGAGGUGAAAAUUGGUCUUUUUUUGUUGUUGGUUCAGUGUAUCAGUCCCAUUUUUUUGUUGCCUGCCAUCUUGAGCAAAGUAUAUAAUAUUUGUUAAGAAUUGGUUAAACAAAUAAUUGGAAACAAAAAGAAGGAGUAAGUAGUCAGUUUAUGAAGAGAGGUUACCAGCAGAGUUCCCUUAGAUUCUGUGCUCCAUGCUAUUUGGAAU